rnacentral:rRNA from 1 species
UACAUAGGCUCCAAGCGUUGUUCGGAAUUACUGGGCGUAAAGCGAGUGUAGGCUGUCCGCCAAGUCGAUUGUGAAAUCUCCCGGCUCAACUGGGAGGGUGCGGUCGAAACUGGCGGACUAGAGUUCGGGAGAGGAGAGUGGAAUUCCUGGUGUAGCGGUGAAAUGCGUAGAUAUCAGGAGGAACACCGGCGGUGAAGACGGCUCUCUGGACCGAUACUGACGCUGAGACUCGAAAGCGUGGGGAGCAAAC